GCACUGCUGAGGAGUCCCAUACCAGGACUAAACGGCAGUCCAGUGC
rnacentral:hammerhead_ribozyme from 1 species